rnacentral:lncRNA from 1 species
UUUUCAAAAAAAUAAAAAAAAAUAAAAUAAGAACCCUAGUUUGCUGCAGUAUUGUUUCUAUAGGCUGUUUAGUUUUAUUUGUCUUUAAAAUAAAAUAAAAAAAAUUGUCACUAUUAUUUCCUUAAAUCGUCUGCUUCUGUCUUUGAUUUAGUUUCUAUACUAGUUCAAAGUUUUCGUCAAAAAAAAAAAAAAUUAUUUUGUUUUAAAAUUUUUGUGUCAACUAGUAUUUUUUAAGUAUCUUAAAGCUUAUUUAAAAAUAAUAGUUUUC